AUGGAGUUCCUAAAGUUGCGAAAGAGAUUGUUGAAAAGAUAGACGAUGUGAACUUGUCUACCACCUUCACAGUCAUUGAAGGAGAUUUACUGAAGGAGUAUAAGAAUUUCAAAAUCACCGUUAAAGCUACACCGAAGGGUACUGGAAGUGUAGCGCACUGGACACUGGAGUAUGAGAAGCUGAAUAAAGAUAUUCCAGACCCACACUCUCUAGUUAAAUUUUUACUUGAUGUCUCCAAAGAUAUUGAUGCCCAUCUUACCAAAGCAUGAACUCCCAGCCUUAUCCAUCAAUAAACUGUUUGCUUGCUAUUUAUACGUGUGAUUAAGCCUACAGUGCAAUAUGUAAUAAAUAAAGGAAAAAAAGGGUCUGGAUUUUAUUAAUCCUUAGAUCCUUCGAUAUAUAUAUAUAUAUAUGUAAACUUUUAUUGUAUGUGGUUUUUAUUGAUGUACUAAUAGAUGUGAGUUUUAUUAAGGAUGUCUUUGUGUUGUACCUGAGCUUAUUUAGAGAUUUUUGGCUCAUAGCAUAUAUAUGUAUGUAUCAUUGAAAAGCUUGACGCAUCAGGCUACUUAGCAAGGAACUUGGAAUCACUGAGACCACCUAGUCAUUAAUGGGAUCAUAAUCUCACACAGUUUUUUGUCACUAACAGGUUCAUGUUCAAAUUGCCAAUACUGAUGUAGCUGGCCAAUCGUUAAAUAAGCUCAAAUUAUUUCAGCUAUUGGUUUAUUUUAAUAAUAGCCAUCUGAUUAUUAAUCGUAGAUUGCCUUUCAGUUAUAAAGAAAUAUAGAUAACAUGUUCUGUAGAUCACACUGAAUGGAGCAUAAGCAUCGAACUAUUGCAUACCAUUUAGGGGAAGAGAGGAAUAUGGAUGAAUCCGUACAACUUAAAACCCAUUCAAUCACACUGAUUAUGGAUGAAGCGCAGAGACAGGGAAAGUGAUGGGAGGACAAGACUAGGUUUUGAAUGAAACAAUUUUUUAAAAAUGGCAAAUGGGAAGGACUAUAAAUCUAGUCUAAACAAGUAUUUUUUUCAUUUUUUUUCCCAACGGUCAGAGAUCUCUCGCGACAAUCAAAAACUUGCUUUUAAUUAGUUUGAUUUAUGGAUAUGGUAAUAAAUUAUAGGUAAGCCUUUCUUGAAGUAACACCGUCCAAUAAAAAAAUAUCAUAAGUUGCUUUCAAUCCCAACAAAGUGGUGUAACUAAUCUUCUAGACAAUUACGAUUGCUUUUUUUUUUUUUUCUAAGGUACAAAUUUUUUAAGUAGAAGGUGCAAUUAUUUAUUAGGUAAUUUUUUUUCCAAUGAACCCCAAGUCUUUAUUAUUAUUAUUAUUAUUAUUUCACAAAAUAUACACUAGUAUGUUAAUAUAACUAGGAGUUAGAGAGUACGAAAAAAAAUGUGUUCCACCAAAUAACAAUUAAACGAUACAAAAUUAGUAAAGCUUUAUUUACUUUACCUUUCUCUCAAACAUAAAAAAGGAUAUAAUGACCUUAUAUUUUACCAUAUCUACUUUAAUUCAAUAAUCCUUUUUUUAUAUGUGGAAGGUUUAAUGGAAUUGGAAAAACAUCGUGGGCUACACAGCAGGAAUAGCCCUUCCCUUUGAAUGACAUUCACCAAAUUGGUGAUAACUUUUAUGAUAGAGAAGACUUAAAAUCGAUCACUCCUUACAUCUUUUACGAGAGGUAGAAAGACCAAUCACAGCACAUCUAAUUGGCUAAUUCAAUAAUCCUUUCCUUUAACUAAGUUUAUCCAUCUAUCUAAAACGUUAUCUCAAACCACAUAUAAUAAUAAGUUGCUUUCAAUCCCAACAUAAUGUAUGUAACUGAUCUUCAGGACAAUUAAUUAAGAUUACCUACUUUUCUACCUACCGUAGAACUAAUUCUUGGACAAUCUUAGGGGUCCAUGCCCUCAAAAUCUUUUUCAUUAUUAUUUUUAUUUUUAGCUGAUAGAUUGAGAAAAAAAUCCUUCCAUGCUGUUCAUGUAGAGAUACGUAAGACAUGGAUGAAAAGGGAAAGAAAAAAGAGGAGUUGUGGGUGAAUUCCUUAUUGGAUGUCUAUUUGAAUAGGAAUAAGAUCUUCUAAUCCUAUUCUGAUUCUAUUCAAAUGAUAAUAUUUGAUCCUACAAUAUAAUUAGGCCUUAUAUAUAAAUUACGGUUAAAUUUCUGGUAAAAUAUUUAUAUUCUAUUACUGGCUAAGUAUGCUAAUAUAAGCAGGAGUUAGAAAAUAGGAGAAAAAAAUGCCUUAUACCAAUAACAAACGAUACAAGAUUAGUGAAUUUUUUUUUUUUUUUUAAGGAUAAUAAUGCAUUAUCCAUUUCUUUAUUUAAAAAAAAAAAAAACUCCAAAAGACACGGAAAGAUAAUAUCUUAAGACUCAAAUGUAGAAAAAAAUAUGUUGAUAGGAUGCUUAAGUAAAAGAACGAGCACAUAUAUUAGCUUGUCUUCUUAACUCAUUUGACUACAAUAUCAUGCCUAAAUUUUAUAGUAGAUUUACAAUCAAAAAUAACCUAUCGAUCCAAAUUCAGAAUUAAACAACACAUUCGAGUUCAAAGCAAAAUAAACAUUCUAAUGAUUCUAGGAAUCAACGUCAGUAAAGCCUUUAUUAAGCUAGUUUCUUGUAAAUAUAAAGAAAAUUUUUAUGUUAUUUUGUCAUACUUGAUUUUAUUUUACUGUAUUAUAUUUUAACUUAUCUUACCUUAAUUUAAUAAUCUUUCUCACCACACCCAAAGAAAGUAAAAUGUGAUCCUAAAUGCAAAAAUCUAAGAGCUUGUUUGAUUGGAUGUAAAAUAAGGAGAGGUGUAAAAUAAUAAGUGAAAGUUUAUUGGGAUAUGCAAAAUACCCUAUUUAGGAAGGAGGUAAAAUAAGAAAUGAAUGUAAAAUAUCUUUAUUUUAGGUCCUCCAAUUUACUCCCUAAAAUGAGAGAAAAUAAAAACAAUAAAGGUAUAACUAAGUAAAAUAAAUUUAUUUUACUCCCACCUUUUUAUUUUCCCUUCAAACCAAUCAAAGAGUGUAAAAUAAGGAGGUAAAAUGAAUAAUAAUAUUUUACUCUCUCAUUUUACAUGCUCCCUCUAUCCAAACAAAGCAUAAAGUAUAAUCUUCGUACCAAACAGUUGUUCACUUUUUAUCUAAAGUACAAUUAAUAAUUGAAAAAUCUACGGUACAACUAAUUAUUGAAAAAUCUUGUCUGAAUCUAUUAUUAUUAUUAUUUCCACAAAAAUCUUCUAUAAUUUCUACUCGUAAAUUCUGUCCAUUUGAAUUUAAUCUAAUAAAUCCUAACAAUUAUAAUAAUGGACCUUGGUACCACAAUACAUCAUAAUGCCUCUUAAACAAAUAUUUUUUUUUCAAGAAAUGAAAUUAAAAAUAAAAAAUAUAAGGAAAAAAAAAAGAAAAAUAGAGAUUUCAUUUAAAGUCAAAAGGCAAAAACUUUUAUACAAAUAGACAAAAUAUAUGGAUAAAUAAAUACUAAAUAAAUAAACUAAAAUAAGUUAUCAAAAUAGUAAAUUUUCAUAAAACUUUUUUGAGUGAAUUUAUAUGAUUCAGUUUUUUUUAUUACUUAUUCUUAUUUUUAUUACUAUUGUUUAUAAUUAAUUGUUUUGCUUAUUUUAAUUAUUAUCAAUUAUUAAUAUUUUUAAUAUUUAAUUAUUUUAAUAUUAGGUUCUAUUUGGUGGAUCAAUCAUCUCGUCAAGGAAUAUUUUGUAAUAUCUUUAUUUUCUUUUCCAAUUUCAAAUUAGAAUUCUAUAUUUCUAAUAUUCUAAUUAUAUAUAUACUAUUUAAAUUAUAUUUUUAUUUCUAUAUUAUUACUAUAUCAUGUUUAUAUUAUAUUAUAUUUAUAUGUUUAUUUUUUUAUAUUUUUUUCUAUAUCACGUGUUUAUUGCAAUUUAUGUGUACCAUAUAUGUUUUCGUAUGCCAAGUCAAUGAGAAUUGAGAACCACUAGACUAGUAGUUGUCUGAUUUUCAAAUUAAUUUUAUUUCUUAUAAGGUUAAAUAACUAUAAUUAGUCCAGCAAAUCAAGACAUAGCUCAAUAGAAAAUGUAUUUACGACCUAACUAUACCUCGAGAUUCAAAUUAAUUAAUUUAGAUAAUACUUAUUUAAUGCUGAAUAAUUUAUAACAUAAACAUUUUAUUCACAAUAGUUUGUAUCAAAAUUCAAUUUGAAUAAUUGUUGAAUUAUUUUAUUUAAAUUAUAUUCUAAAAAUAAUAUAACAAUAUAUUUAAAUAAAUAUUUUUAAAAAUUAUAAUAUCGUCUUUAAAAAUAAAUUAGUUUAUGUUAGUUCUACCACCUAAUUUAUUAUAAAAUUUUGAAUUAUUUCAUUAUUAUUGGGUGCGGGAUUUAUCUCCCAAAAUAUAAAAUUAAUAUAGUCUAGCUGGAGUGGUACCCAUACUAUAGAUUACAUUUCAAUUUUAAUUUUAAUAUGAUGAAAAGCACGUCCAGCUAAGAAGUUUAAAAAAAACAAUUAAAAAAUUAAAAGUAUUAAAAAGAAAACUGAAAUAAAAAUAAUUCAAGUAUACACACUGAAAAAUCGUGAAAUAGUUGAAGUUCAUUUAGCUUUAUUAUUUAUUUAUUUAUUUAUUUAUCUUUUUGAACCUACAGUACGUAACCUUCAGUACUCCUGUAAGGCCAUAGAAUUUCCUUCACCUUUCAUCUCUAAUUCAUAAUUAGUUGUUUGUUUGCAAAGUCGAAAGAAUGGCUCUCACCGGUAAGCUCGAAACUGAUGUAGAAAUCAGAGCUUCUGCCCACAAGUUUCAUGAUAUGUUUGGGCCCAGACCCCAUCACUUACCCAAUGCUAUUCCUCACCAUGUCCAAAGUUGUGAACUACAUGAUGGUGAAUUUGGAAAACAAGACAGUGUUGUCUUCUGGAAUUAUGUUCUUGGUAAGUAAGGUUUCACCAUUUCAGGUUACGAAAGGGUGGUUAUAUAUAUAUAUAUAUAUGAUAAUUUAAUUCUUUUUCCUGAAAAUUUGAACAGAAUGAGUCCCUAAAGUUGCGAAGACCCAUAUUGAAGUCAUGGACGAUGUGAAUUUGUCUACCACUUUCAAAGUGAUUGAAGGAGAUUUACUGAAGGAGUAUAAGAGUUUCAAAAUCACUGUUAAAGUUACACUAAAGGGUAACGGCAGUGUAGCGCACUGGACAAUGGAAUACGAGAAGCGAAACAAAGACAUUCCAGACGCAAACUCUAUGCUUCAAUUUGUGAUUGGUGUCACCAAAGAUGUUGAUGCCCAUCUUACCAAAGCUUAAAUUCCAUCAUCCAUCAAUAGAACUGUCUUAUGUGUGUGUGUGUAUAUCUAUAUAUAUACACACACGUAUAUGUUGAAAUAAAGAAGGAUAGGGAUUAAUAUUAAUUCCUAUUUCCUUUGGUGCCCAAUAGACUUUAUUUGCAUGUGGUUUUGCUUAAUCUAUUAAUGGAUGUGAGUUCUGUUAAGGAUUUCUCCAUUUUGUGCCUGAGUUGAUUAAGGGCCUGCUUGGCAUGAGAUUUUUGGCUACUGGCAUAUUUUAGAAUUAAAAUUAUAUAUAUAUAUAUGUACACACACAUUAGAUGCGAUCAAGCAAAUAAUGAACUAAUCAAAUAUAUCCUUCUCGCUCCAUAAUACAUCAUUUCUAUGCUUCCAUGUAGUCCAUAGAGUCAUGCGGAGAUUCUGGAUAUCGUCCAACGAGUGGACAUGAAAAACAUUGAAUAUUAAGUUAAUUAUCUAUUAUGAAUUUAAUUCGAAUGUGAAUUUAAUGUUGUUGCGUACUAUCCAUCAAAAUUUAUUAUAUAAUUCAAAAUUAUUUAUAUAAUAAAAUGUUUAAAGUAAAAAUUUAAGGCUAUGUUUGAUAUGAUGUAAUCAAACAUGUAAUGAAAUAUGAGUUGAUUAUAUUGUUUGGGUAGACUAUUUUUAAGUCUUAUAAUAUAAUUGUGAUUAUAUGUGUAAUCAUCAUUAUUUAAAUUGAUAUAAUAUUCAUUACAUCAAAAAAUCUAUAUAAAAUCUAUUACAUUCCUCAAAGUCCAUAUCCAUUCUCAACCACUACCACACCACCACCGCACCACCACUACACCACCGCCACCAUGCUACCAAUGCAAUCACCCCCACCACUCCAUUACCACCACUACUGCAAUCACCACCACCACCACAUCAUUAUUAAUUAUUCUUUUGUAUUGUUAUAGGGAUAUGAAUUCACUAAAAAGAUUAGUAUACCAUAAUUUUAUGUUGUAAUUUAAUUUAUUCAGGGAAAAUAUAUAAAAUUGUAAUUGUGUAAAAAAUAAUAAUUUUCAAUGACUUUAACAUUUAUUUUUUUUAUAUUCCAUUUUUCCGGCUUAAUUUUUUUAAUUUUCUACUCCAAAUACUUUAUAUGUCUAAAUAGUCUUUAAUAGCUUUGAUAUAAUGAAUAACCUUUGAUUUAAAUAUUUCUUUUUUUUUUUUGUUAAUAAUAAUAUGGUGGUAGUGAUGGUGAUGGUGAUGGUGAUAGAGUUGUAAUUGUAGCAGUGGUGGAGGUGGAGUGAUGUUGGUGGCAGUGGUGAUAGCGGUGGUAUUCUAAUUAUAUUAUAUGUUUACAAACAAACAUAAAAAUUGAAUGGUUAUUAUAUUCCAUAAAUUUUUUCAGUUACAUUACCAAACAUGGUAAUGGAAUGUUUUACACUUUUCAUUGCAUUUGUUUGGUAAUGAAAUCUUAAUUACAUUCCAUAUCAUGACACUUUUAAUCGCAUUACAUCUUUAAUUAUAUUACAUUGCAUUAUAUUAAACCAAACAUAGCUUACCGCCUAUAUAUUAAGUUUAUGAAUGGAAACAAAGUGGACUUCCAUGGACAUCCUACCCGUUUGAAUUCAUUUAUUUAUAAUAUUUAUGAAUUUAAAAUUUAUUUUAAUUUUUUUACAAUUUUGUAGUGACGAAAUAUCCUAAAUGGUUAGCCAAUAUAGUUUCUAUCCCGAAAUCAGUAAGUUUCUAUUUGAUAAUACAGUGAAAUCGGUUGUAUGUACAUAUAGAAAGAGUGAAUUUUUAAUGGUAACGUUCAAAAAAAUUUCUAAGUUAUUCAUUAGGGACUUGUUUAACAUCCUUCAUAAACCGUUCAAUUUGGCAUUAAAUUUUAGUUAUUAUUUCCAACUAAUUUAUUGACUUCUGAACUAUCAUUUUUUCAAUGACUUUGAAAACUAACUCAACACCAUUUUGACAAAAAAAAAUAGUAACAAAUCCUUUGAUUUGAUUGAUUUUAUACACUAAAUAGAGUCAAAAUUUUAAUCAUUAGCAAUUGAUAUCAGGAUCAUUUUUGAAGCAUUUUCAUAUUAAUUGUUGAUUUGUAUUAUAUUUAAAUUAUAUUAAACUUAUAAAAAUGAGAAAAAUUUCUUUUUCAAUUUAAUAAUUUUAUGUGAUUAUUUUAUUUAUAAUUAUUUAAAAUAAUUUAAUUGCUCAAUAUGAAUAAAUUAAAUUUUAGACUUAAUAGCCAAAACUUGCAAAAGAAGUUCGAAAUGUGUUUAAUUAGCCUAAAAAACAUAUACAUAUAUAUGAUCAUACAUAAUAAUUUUUUUAAUUUCUUUCUUUAUUCAAUUUCUUUUUUAUACACUAGAAAACUUAAUUUGCAUCAAUUUGAUUCAGUAGUUGUGUUUGUCCAACUAAAACAUUAUCUUCCUUAUAUCAAGAGUUAUUUUUAGUACCAACAUAUUGGUCCACCAAUAAUUUAGGAAAUAUAAAAAAAAUAUUAUUGCAUAAUUUUCAUACAAUUAUAAUAAAUAAUUUUUAAGGAUGAGACUAUUAAUAAUUUUUAUCUAUUAAUAAAUUUUAGUUAUGUUAAAAAAAAAAACAGUGAUAUAAAUUUUACAGCCUCAUGUAAUCAUUUUGCAAGUCCAGUUUUGGCAUAGUUGUCAAUCAUGAAGAAACUGAAUAAAAGAUGCGCCUAACAAGACAAUACAAAUGAGUGAACAAAAGUCCUUUCACUUGAUCGAUUUAUACACAAUAGAGUCAAAAUUUCAAUCAAUAGCAAUCGAUAUCAUUUUGAAGCAUUUACCUAUUUGAACGAGUAUGAACAGCCUAAGAGUCAACACCAACAGCAAAGCAAUAAGGAAGAAUCGAGAAGCUGCCGCCCUAAUCAAAAGCAAGAACCCUAAAACAAAACACAACACUUCCUAUUUUUAUUAAACCCAUACAUCAUACCCAUUUCACUUAAUCCAAAUCCAUGUUACAAACCCAUUAACCCAAACCCAUUAAUCCAUAUUGUACAGCUGUAAUUUUAAUUCUGUUACAAUAGACAGUAUACAAUACAGUAGGCCCUAGAGUAAGCACAUACAGCACCCUUGUAAAUAUAAAUAGAACCCAUUGUACCAGCUCUACGUAAUUGAGAAGAGAUAUAUAGUUUCUUCACUCUGUUUGUUUUCUGUUCAUGGUAUCAGAGCCUCCUAUGAUAUUUGAAGUUUUAGAGCUUUCUUCAAGCUUCCUUUCCUGAAAUUAAUGGCAGAAACUCAUGAUCAAAACAAUGAAAACACAAUUGUACAAUCAGAGACUUACAAAGUUUCUGCAUCUGAGAAUUCAGCUUCAAAUCUCAUCAAUAUUUCCUUGAAUGGCCGGAAUUUCUUAUCAUGGAGCAGAUCCAUGACCAUAGCCUUGAAGGCCAGGGACAAAUAUGAAUUUGUCACUGGUGAAGAACAGGAACCUGCAGCUGGAUCUCCAUUGAGAAAGAGAUGGCAGAGGAUCGACAAUCUGGUAACAUCUUGGAUCUUGAACUCUAUUUCUAAAGAUCUAGUUGAAGCAUUUUUGUAUUAUACCAGUUCCAAGGAACUUUGGAAUGAAUUAACUACCAGGUAUGGUGACUCUAAUGGACCUAUGAUUUACCAAAUAAGGAAAGAUAUUUCAAUAACUGUGCAAGGUAACCAAACAGUAGCAAAUUACUACACUAAAUUGAAAAAACUCUGGGAUGAGUUGGCUUGUUUAAGGCCCAUCCCCAAAUGCACAUGUGGAAUUGCAGAAAGGUGUACCUGUGGAGUUGUGAGAGCAGCCUCUGAUCUAGAUAGAGAGGAGAAACUUAUGCAAUUCCUCUUAGGACUGAAUGAUACAUAUGAUAAUGUUAAAAAUCAAAUUCUGCUUAUGGAUCCAUUUCCAAGCAUGAGUAAGGCCUAUUCAAUGGUACUAAGUGUUGAAAAACAGAGGGAGGUGAAUACUGCAAUCUAUGACUCAAGUGAGAAUAGCAGCGCAAUGUAUGUGCAAAAAUCAAACUACAAUAGUAGAAAUACAAGUAAUAGCUCCAGAUUUAAAGCUGACAAGCACUGUGAUCACUGUAAUGGAACUGGCCACACUAGAGAGACUUGACUUAAACUGACUGGUUAUCCAGACUGUUUUAUUGAACUCAAAAAGAAAAAGAAAGCUCAAGCACAUUUUGGACAAGCAGAAGAUGAACAAUCAAUUAUUAAAUCAGGAGACAAUGAGAAUGAUGUAUCCAGAAUGGUGAGAAUGGAGGUCCAGCGUGCAAUCAAGGGCAAGAUGCAGUAUGAUGAUAAGGCAGAGGAUACACCUGUAGCUAAUGCAGUCAGUUUUGCAGGUAUUGUUUCUCAUUUUCAUUAUAAUGUGCAUGAUAAGUAUGAUUUAGUUCCAUGGAUUGUUGACACUGGUGCAACUGAUCAUAUGACAUACAUGCAUCAUCUGUUUCAUACAUUAACCAAAUUACCUAAACCAAGAACAGUGACUCUACCUGACAACUCCACUAGAACUAUAACACAUAUUGGCAAAGUCAUAAUGCAUGACAGAUUGAUAUUAAAGGAUGUGUUAUAUAUACCAACAUUCAAAUGCAAUCUAUUAUCUGCAUCAGCCCUUGCAAAGAACAAUGCACUAUCGGUGAAAACACUACCUAACCACUGUUUGUUACAGGAUUUGCAGACUGAUGAAGUAGUAGCCAUUGGCAAGUUGUUUGGAGGUUUAUAUUUCCUUGAUAAGAAGUGUUUUGUACCCAUUUCUACUACUAAAGCUUUACACACUUGUACCAAACAUGAUGAUCAUUUGAAACUAUUAUGGCACCUUAGAUUGGGUCAUAUUUCUAUGGCUAGACAAAAUCAUGUAAUAAACUCAGAUACAAACAGUGGUUCUUUUGAAUGUAAUGUUUGCCCCCUUGCAAAGCAACAAAGAUUGCCAUUUUCUCCAAGCUGCAGUAUUGCUAAAGGCAUGUUUGAUUUAGUACAUAUUGACCUAUGGGGACCCUAUCCUAUCAUUUCUUUGACUGGUGCUAGAUACAUGAUUACUAUAGUAGAUGACUAUAGCAGAUACACAUGGGCCUACAUGUUACCAAAUAAACAACAAGUCCACUCAAUCCUUGACCACUUUACCAACCUAAUAGACACCUCAUACCAAAAUUAAAAAAAUAAGGACUGAUAAUGGCACUGAAUUUGUAAAUCAUGUAGUAAAGUCAUUGUUCCUUUCUAAAGGAAUUAUACAUCAACUAUCUUGCCCUUAUUCUCCACAGCAAAAUGGAAGAGUGGAGAGAAAACACAAAGAAAUUUUGAACAUUGGAAGAGCCCUCCUAUUUCAGGCUAAGUUUCCUAAGAAUUUUUGGUCUGAAGUUCUCCUAUCUGCUGUUUACCUCACAAAUAGAGUGCCAUCUGCACUCUUAGAAUGGUUAAGCCCUUUCGAAAAACUGCACCAAAUACAACCAGACCUUAAACACUUAAGAGUUAUUGGCUGCUUGUGUUUUGCAACCAAUACCAACCCACACAAAGAUAAGUUUGACCCUAGAGCUAAACCAUGUGUAUUAUUGGGUUAUGGGGCUCAACAGAAAGGUUACAAGUUAUAUGACAUGCAUUCUAAGCAGAUUUUCUACUCCAGGGAUGUUGUAUUCAAGGAAAUUGUUUAUCCUUUCCAUCACAACACACCUUUUGAGUCAUGUACUUUUAAGAUACUGGACUGUUUAGAUGACACCAACCCGGAAAUUCCAGACCACACAAACACUAUACCUGACUCAAUAAUACAAGCAACACAUGAAAACAUGAUUACUCUUGACCAAACAAGCCAACAGUUUCCCACAGCUGCUGAACCAUACAUACAGAAUAACCAGACUGAACCUCCUCAAACUUCACUACCAGAACAACCAAUUCAACCACUUAGAAGAAGCAUAAGAACUUCAAGACCACCAACUUGGAUGACAGAUUAUAUAACUGAUUGUGCUACUUCCAAUUACACAUGUGCUGAUUCAAUUUCCACAAAUCCCUUACCCAACUCACCCUAUUCACAUGCAUAUGCAUCUUUUACAUCUAAUGUCAACAAAAUCCAUGAACCUUUAUCAUAUAAUCAUGCUAUUUCUGAUGAAAAUUGGGUACGAGCAAUGCAAACUGAACUCAAAGCUUUAGAAGACAAUGGUACUUGGAUCUUAACUGAGUUACCCAAAGGGAAGAGGGCCAUCGGAUGCAAGUGGGUCUACCGAGUCAAAUACAAACAAGAUGGGACCAUAGACAGGUAUAAGGCUCGCCUGGUUGCUAAAGGGUACAAUCAAAAACUGGGCAUUGAUUACAAUGACAGUUUUUCCCCUAUUGCUAAAAUGGUAACUGUGAGAAUCCUGUUUGCUCUAGUAGCUAAAUACCAAUGGACUCUUCACCAACUUGACAUUAACAAUGCCUACUUACAUGGCUAUAUUGAUGAGGACAUCUACAUGCAACCUCCAGCUGGCUAUUCUAAAGCUUCUACAGGCCAAGUGUGCAAAGUGACUAAGUCACUUUAUGGACUUAAGCAGGCUGGCAGAAUGUGGAACUAGGAAUUGACAAAUACGUUGAUCCAGUAUGGUUUUCAACAGUCAGUGAAUGACCACUGCCUAUUCACGAAAGGGGCAGAUACUGACUUUCUAGUGCUUAUUGUCUAUGUGGAUGACAUCUUAAUUGCAGGGCCUAACAUUCAACUUAUCCGCAAUAUUAAGGAGUUUCUACACUCUAAGUUUACCAUUAAGGACCUCGGUGAUGCACGAUUUUUCUUGGGAAUUGAAAUCCUACGGUCCACUGAUGGCAUCUACUUAUCUCAGCAAAAAUUUAUUCAAGACAUGCUGUUAGAUGCAAACAUACAGCACACAAAACAUGCAUCCACGCCAAUGGUACAAGGUCAAAAACUUCAAGCAACUAUGGGCCCAUUACUCACAGAACCAGAUUGUUACAGACGGUUAGUGGGGAGAUUGCUUUACCUGAGCUUCACUCGACCAGACAUUACUUACUCAGUCCAGCAGUUGUCUCAACACAUGCAACAUCCUUGUCAGGGUCACAUGACUGCUGUCUUUCAUCUUCUCCGCUACUUAGCUUCCUCAACAAAUCUAAAACUGUUCUUCCCCACUUCAUCUCCGCUUGAUCUUCAGGCAUACUGUGAUGCUGAUUGGGGGGCUUGCCCUGACACUCGACGGUCCCUCACAGGAUAUUGUAUUUUCAUGGGCUCCUCGAUCGUGUCAUGGAAAACAAAAAAACAACAGGAAGUCAGUCGUUCCUCUGCUGAAGCAGAAUACAGGGCCAUGGCUAAUACAGUGUGCGAAAUACUUUGGAUUGACAAAAUAUUAAUAGAUCUGCAGGUAAAAAUCAAAAAACCAGUACCUUUAUUCUGCGACAACCAAGCGGCACUGCAUAUUGCCGCCAACCCUGUCUAUCACGAGCGCACCAAACAUAUUGACAUCGACUGCCAUCUCACUCGACACUACAUUCAAACGGGCCUUAUCGACCCAAAGCAUCUCCCUUCAGAGUCACAACUCGCUGAUUUCUUCACCAAACUCUUACCCAUCUCCAGAUUUCGGUUGAUGACUGUCAAGUUGGGCUUGGUUUUGUUUCCCCCGCUCCAACUUGAGGGGGGCGUGAACGAGUAUGAACAGCCUAAGGGUCAACACCAAUAGCAAAGCAAUAAGGAAGAAUCGAGAAGCUGCCACCCUAAUCAAAAGCAAGAACCCUAAAACAAAACACAACACUUCCUAUUUAUAGUAAACCCAUACAUCAUACCCAUUUCACUUAAUCCAAAUCCAUGUUAUAAACCCAUUAACCCAAACCCAUUAAUCCAUAUUGUACAGCUAUAAUUUUAAUUCUGUUACAAUAGACAGUAUACAAUACAGUAGGCCCUAGAGUAAGCAAAGACAGCACCCUUGUAAAUAUAAAUAGAACCCAUUGUACCAGCUCUACAUAAUUGAGAAGAGAUAUACAGUUUCUUCACUCUGUUUGUUUUCUGUUCACUAUUGAUUGUUAAAUCUUAUUUCUUUACAAUUAAUUUCCAUAAAUUUAUAACUAACCGAUUAGUUAAAGCUGAAUGACUCAUUUUAAAAACGAUAGCAAAGCUUUAAGUUUCAUAAACUAUGUAAGUUAACCUUGCCGUUUCUGACCGCUGCAUGUCUUGUCUGCAGUGGGUCCUUUUUAUCCUUUUAAUUGUUUUUUCUUUAUUUUAUUUAAUUUUCAAAUAUGUGAUUAUUUGGAAUAAUAUUUAAAUUUAGUCUUUCAUCUAUAUGUAAUAAUUUAAUGCCCCUUUAUGUUUUGAUUUAUUAAAUUUCUCUCAUUUCACGAAGUUAUUCUUUGUUAUUGUAGAAUUUUAUAUAGGUCUUUUAUUUCUUUGACAAUUCAAAAUAUAAGAUUAAUUAUUGGUUAUUUAUGAUAUGAGACUUCAUAUCUUCAAAUUUUAAUAAAUUUUUUUUAUUAAUGAAACCUGGCUGUGAAGCAUGUUGCUAUAUUAAUUUGAUUUAUUAAACUCCGGUAUCAAUAGUAACAAGUUUUUUAGAAAAUAAAAUUUGGACAAUAUUACCGAAAAAAUUUUUUAGUCCUAUUUGAAAAUCAACCAAUUUUUAUCCGAAAAAUUAAUCUGUUUUACUAAGAUCAUCUUCGAUCAGAAGCUUUCAAUUUUUUAUAUUUGCUACUUAUUGGUAUGAAAAUAUUAUGAUUUACCUAAUUUAUAAUCAUAUUAUAAAAAAUUUCAUCAAUGAUAAAAUUUCAUCAACGCACCACUCUCACCAAAAAUGUUGAUGCGGAUCUUACCAAAUCAUAAAUUCCAUUAUAUUAUUGAAAUAUACUUAUCUAAACCAUAUGUUUAUCUGUUAUUUAUAUAUUUAAUUAAUAAUUUAUCAUUAUUUAAAAACAUUAUCAUCAUUAGAUUUGUUAAAUAUAACAUAAAGAUUUUAAUUUUUAUAUUUAUAUUUUCUUUAUUUGUAUAAGAAUAUUAUGAUUUACUUGAUUAAUAUUCAUAUGAAUAGUUUUUUAAAACUUAUUAAUUUUUUUAAUUUAGCUUGCUAACUUCUGAAAAAAAAAACAUCUUUUUAAUUAUGGAGCUAGCUAGAAAAUAUAUAUAUAUAUUUUUUUUUUUUUUUUUUUUUGAAAUGGAAAAUAUUUUCAAUGUUAUUAUAAAAUGUUAAUAUUAUAUCCAUUGUAAAUUUCACAUGCGCCAUCUGCUACUAACAUAGUUGUUUUUAAUGAGCACUCAACAUAUAAUAAUUACAUAUAUGUAUAAAAAAUAAAGGAAGGGCAGGAAUUAGUUCACUUAAUAUAUAAUUUAACAUUUGAAUAAAAAUAUUAGUUAGAUUAGUAUUUUUAAUUUAAUAUAUUCAAAUUAUAUUUAUUUAAAUAUUUUAAUAUAUAAAAUUAUAUUUAAUAAAUAUAUUUAAUUUGGUAUUAAAUUUUAAUUAUUAUUUUCUGUUAAGCCGUGAAUAUAUUGAUUUCUUGAACUAUCAUUUUUUCAAAGACCUUGAAAACUUGAUUUAACACCGUUUUGAAAAAAAAAAAAAAAAAGUAGUGAAGUCCUUUCACUUGAUCGAUUUAUACACAAAAGAGUCAAAAUUUCAAUCAAUAGCAAUCGAUAUCAUUUUGAAGCAUUUUCCUAUUGAUUGUUAAAUUUUAUUUUUUUACAAUUAAUUUCCAUAAGUUUAGUUAAAGCUGAAUGACUCAUUUUAAAAAUAAUAGCAAAGCUUUAAGUUUCAUAAACGAUGUAUGGAACGUCUUGUCGGCAGUGGGUCCUUUUUAUCCUUUUAAUUGUUUUUUCUUUAUUUUAUUUAAUUUACAAAUAUGUGAUUAUUUGGAAUAAUAUUUAAUUUUAGUCUUUCAUAUAUAUAUGUAAUAAUUUAAUGCCUUUAUGUUUUGAUUUAUUAAAUUUCUCUCAUUUCACGAAGUUAUUCUUUGUUAUUGAGAAAUUUUAUAAAAUUGAUCAUUGGUUGUUUAUGAUCUGAGACUUCAUAUCUUUAAGUUUGAAUAAAUUUCUUUUAUUAAUGAAACCUGGUUGUGAAGCAUGUUGUUAUAUUAAUUUGAUUUAUUAAACUCGGAUAUCAAUUGUAACAAGUUUUCUAGAAAAUAAAGUUCAGACAAUAUUACCGAAAAAAUUUUUUUAGUCCUUCUAUUUGAAAAUCGACCAAUUUUUAUCCGAAAAAUUAAUCUGCUUUGCUAAGAUCACCUUCUAUCGGAAGCUUUCAAUUUUUUAUAUUUACUUCUUAUUGGUAUGAAAAUAUUAUGAUUUACCUAAUUUAUAAUCAUAUUAAAAAAAAUUUCAUCAACGCACCACUCUCACCAAAAAUGUUGAUGCGGAUCUUACCAAAUCAUAAAUUCCAUUAUAUUAUUGAAAUAUACUUAUCUAAACCAUAUGUUUAUCUGUUAUUUAUAUAUUUAAUUAAUAAUUUAUCAUUAUUUAAAAACAUUAUCAUCAUUAGAUUUGUUAAAUAUAACAUAAAGAUUUUAAUUUUUAUAUUUAUAUUUUCUUUAUUUGUAUAAGAAUAUUAUGAUUUACUUGAUUAAUAUUCAUAUGAAUUGUCAAGUUUUAUAAAAAAUAGUUUCAUCCGCCAUAAAUUUCUUUUAUAUAUAUAUAUAUAUANNNNNNNNNNNNNNNNNNNNNNNNNNNNNNNNNNNNNNNNNNNNNNNNNNNNNNNNNNNNUAGACAAAAUAAUUCUGUAAGCCAUAUUAGAAUGUGAUGUAUUGUAAACUAGGCCCGAACUAUAGAAUGCUGUAGAAGAUAAACUUGGGCCGAGAAAUAAUAGAAUAUUGAAAUUUAUACCGAGAUAAUAGAUUCUAGUGUUUCAGGCUUACUACGGGCCUCGGGGGCCUUAAGCUUACCUGGGCUCUAGUGCCGGUCCGGCCCAUGGAGUCGGGUCGUGAUAAAAAUAAUUUUUAAUUAUUAAAUAAUUGUUAUACUUUACGCGUUUAGCGUAAGGACAGAUAAUUAUACAAUCAACGUCAACAUUUAUUUAAUUACAUCAAUCAAUCAAUCACACGACACUUCCUCUUAAAAAAUAAAUUAUAUGACAUUUACAUCAAUAAAUACUAUAUAGUAUAAAAAUUAUUUAAAAAUUUCCCUCUUUAAUUAUUUAAACUGUUCAACUACUCCUAAUACAAUAUUCAAAGUUGAUUGCAUCUACAACAUUAUCUCAAAUAAAAAUAAAAUAAAAUAUAGAAUCAAUUAUUUGUUUUUAGAACCAACUUCCAACACAUUCGCGUUUCUCUAUAGGAAAAAAAGUUCAAUUUGGUCUUUCAAUUAUACUUUCUAUUAUAAUUUGUCAAGUGUGAUCUCGUAUUCUUUUUGUAUUUUAUUUAUUUGAGACACUUAUAUGUUUAUAAUUAAAGUUGUUUUAGUUUUAUUAUUUAUUUAUUUAUUUAUAUAUCUAUUCAGACCUACGUCAUGCAGCCAUGCUGCCCCUGACUCUUGCCCAUUAUAAAAGCACGUCAAGGCCAAAGCAUUUCCUUCAUCUUCCGAUCCAUCUCUCAUUGAUAAGUUGCUUGUUUUGCAAAUUUGAAAAAAAAAAUGGCUCUUACCGGUAAGCUCGAAGCAGAUGUGGAAAUCAAAGCUUCUGCGGACAAGUUUCAUGAUGUGUUUGGGUCUAGACCCCAUCACGUAAAACAUGCUACUCCUCACAACAUACAAGGGUGUGAAUUACAUGAUGGUGGAUUUGGAAAAGAAGGGAGUGUUGUCUUCUGGAAUUAUGUUCAUGGUAAGGUUCCACCCUUUUUUUAUCUUAAAUAUAUUAUGGAGAUUUGAACUCUUAACAUUAAGGUUUUGAAUUAUUAAGUCAAGAUAAUUUUGAAGUUCUGUGACUUUUUUUUUUUAAUUUUCCCUUAAAAUUCAAACAGAUGGAGUUUCUAAAGUUGCGAAAGAGAUUGUUGAAAAGAUAGACGAUGUGAACUUGUCUACCACCUUCACAGUCAUUGAAGGAGAUUUACUGAAGGAGUAUAAGAAUUUCAAAAUCACCGUUAAAGCUACACCGAAGGGUACUGGAAGUGUAGCGCACUGGACACUGGAGUAUGAGAAGCUGAAUAAAGAUAUUCCAGACCCACACUCUCUAGUUAAAUUUUUACUUGAUGUCUCCAAAGAUAUUGAUGCCCAUCUUACCAAAGCAUGAACUCCCAGCCUUAUCCAUCAAUAAACUGUUUGCUUGCUAUUUAUACGUGUGAUUAAGCCUACAGUGCAAU
rnacentral:lncRNA from 1 species